rnacentral:rRNA from 1 species
GACGAACGCUGGCGGCGUGCCUAAUACAUGCAAGUCGAGCGAAUCUGAGGGAGCUUGCUCCCAAAGAUUAGCGGCGGACGGGUGAGUAACACGUGGGCAACCUGCCUAUAAGACUGGGAUAACUUCGGGAAACCGGAGCUAAUACCGGAUAAUUCUUUUCUACACAUGUAGGAAAGCUGAAAGACGGUUUACGCUGUCUCUUAUAGAUGGGCCCGCGGCGCAUUAGCUAGUUGGUGAGGUAACGGCUCACCAAGGCGACGAUGCGUAGCCGACCUGAGAGGGUGAUCGGCCACACUGGGACUGAGACACGGCCCAGACUCCUACGGGAGGCAGCAGUAGGGAAUCUUCCGCAAUGGACGAAAGUCUGACGGAGCAACGCCGCGUGAGUGAUGAAGGUUUUCGGAUCGUAAAACUCUGUUGUUAGGGAAGAACAAGUGCGAGAGUAACUGCUCGUACCUUGACGGUACCUAACCAGAAAGCCACGGCUAACUACGUGCCAGCCGCCGCAGUAAAAC